UAAAGCACAAGAAAGAUCUCACAGUAGUGAUGAAUCAAAGCUUCAUUAUCCUUCAACCAGAAAAAUAAGUUUAGUUCUUCAUAGAGAGAAGAGAAAAAUUAGAUCUAGGGUUUCUUUCUUUCUCUCCAAUCCAAAAUCCCCCUUUUUCACAAUAGAUUCCUCCCUUAAAUACUCUCUCUCUCUUCUCUUUUAGAAUUCUAUUUAAAAUAAAAUACUAAUAUCUGAAAUAUUAAAUUCGUAAUUACAAAAAUAACCAAAAAUACAAAACACGUUAAACUAAAAACUGCAGGUCCACAGUUAACAGCACGCGCCCACGCCUUAUCAACAAAGUUCUUCUGACGCUCAUAAUUUCUCCAAGAGAACAAUC
rnacentral:lncRNA from 1 species